rnacentral:miRNA from 1 species
UUUGUUUUUAUGUUAUUUUGUGAA